rnacentral:rRNA from 1 species
GAUGAACGCUGGCGGCGUGCCUAAUACAUGCAAGUCGAGCGAACAGACGAGGAGCUUGCUCCUUCGACGUUAGCGGCGGACGGGUGAGUAACACGUAGGUAACCUACCUAUAAGACUGGGAUAACUUCGGGAAACCGGAGCUAAUACCGGAUAAUAUUUCGAACCGCAUGGUUCGAUAGUGAAAGAUGGCUUUGCUAUCACUUAUAGAUGGACCUGCGCCGUAUUAGCUAGUUGGUAAGGUAACGGCUUACCAAGGCAACGAUACGUAGCCGACCUGAGAGGGUGAUCGGCCACACUGGAACUGAGACACGGUCCAGACUCCUACGGGAGGCAGCAGUAGGGAAUCUUCCGCAAUGGGCGAAAGCCUGACGGAGCAAAGCCGCGUGAGUGAUGAAGGUCUUCGGAUCGUAAAACUCUGUUAUUAGGGAAGAACAAACGUGUAAGUAACUGUGCACGUCUUGACGGUACCUAAUCAGAAAGCCACGGCUAACUACGUG